AUGGUCAAGCAGAAAGGGCACAGGGCGGAUGCCUUGGCACUAAGGGCCGAAGAAAGACGUGAUAAGCUGCGAUAAGCUCGGGGAGGAGCAAAUAUCCAUUGAUCCGGAGAUCUCUGAAUGGGGAAACCCACAUGAGCAAACCUCAUGUAUCCAUACGCCAAUCCAUAACGUAUGAGGGGAACCCGGGGAACUGAAACAUCUAAGUACCCGGAGGAAAAGAAAGAAAACUCGAUUCCGUAAGUAGCGGCGAGCGAACGCGGAAGAGCCUAAACCAGGUCGCGUGCGAUCUGGGGUUACGGACUGCAUUUAAGAUUCUGUGAUGUUAGUAGAACGGUUUUGGGAAAGCCGGCCAGAGAGGGUGAAAGCCCCGUACACGAAAACAGAGCAGACUGAGCAGGAUCCAGAGUACCGCGGGACACGAGAAACCCUGCGGGAAGUAAGGGGGACCACCCCCUAAGGCUAAAUACCACUUAGUGACCGAUAGCGCAUAGUACUGUGAAGGAAAGGUGAAAAGGACCCCGGGAGGGGAGUGAAAGAGAACCUGAAACCCUGUGUCUACAAGCUGUGGGAGUGCUUUAUAUGCACGACCGCGUACUUUUUGUAGAACGGUCCGGCGAGUUGCGCACACUGGCAAGGUUAAGGACUCAAGGUCCGGAGCCGUAGGGAAACCAAGUCUUAAUAGGGCCAGAGUCAGUGUGGGCAGACCCGAAACCGGGUGAUCUAUCCAUGUCCAGGUUGAAGCUGCCGUAAGAGGCAGUGGAGGACCGAACCCACAUCCGUUGAAAAGGGUGGGGAUGAGGUGUGGAUAGGGGAGAAAUUCCAAUCGAACCCGGAGAUAGCUGGUUCUCCUCGAAAUAGCUUUAGGGCUAGCCUUGGUAGAGAUUUGCGGAGGUAGAGCACUGAAUUUCCUAGGGGGCGUCAAAGCCUACCGAAGAAUAUCAAACUCCGAAUGCCGCGUAAUUGCUUACCGGGAGUCAGACUGCACGAGAUAAGUUGGGCAGUCAAAAGGGAAAGAGCCCAGACCUUCAGUUAAGGUCCCAAAGUGUACGUUAAGUGGAAAAGGAUGUGGGAUUUCGAAGACAACCAGGAUGUUGGCUCAGAAGCAGCCAUUCAUUCAAAGAGUGCGUAAUAGCUCACUGGUCGAGAGGUCCUGCGCCGAAAAUGUCCGGGGCUGAAACGUACCACCGAAACUAAGGAAUCUAGUAAUAGAUUGGUAGAGGAGCAUUGCAUGCGGGAAGAAGCAGUACCGUAAGGAGCUGUGGACUGCAUGGAAGAGAGAAUGCCGGAAUGAGUAGCGAGAUAGAGGUGAGAAUCCUCUAGGCCGAAUAUCCAAGGUUUCCAGGGUAAAGCUGAUCUGCCUGGGUAAGUCGGGGCCUAAGGUGAGGACGAGAGUCGUAGCCGAUGGACAACAGGUGGAGAUUCCUGUACUAUGAUAUGACAGAACUGUGGGGACACGUGCAGAGAGCGGAAGCCGGGAAUGGGAUAGGCUCAAGCAACUGUUUAGCAAAAACACAGGUCUAUGCGAAACCGUAAGGUGAGGUAUAUGCUGACGCCUGCCCGGUGCUGGAAGGUUAAGAGGAGAGGUUAGCGCAAGCGAAGCUUUGAAUUUAAGCCCCAGUAAACGGCGGCCGUAACUAUAACGGUCCUAAGGUAGCGAAAUUCCUUGUCGGGUAAGUUCCGACCCGCACGAAAGGCGUAAUGAUUUGAGCGCUGUCUCGACAAUGCAUCCGGUGAAAUUGAAGUACCAGUGAAGAUGCUGGUUACCUGCGCCAGGACGGAAAGACCCCAUGGAGCUUUACUCCAGUUUGGUACUGGGAUCCGGUACUGCAUGUACAGGAUAGGUGGGAGGCUGAGAAAUGGUAACGCCAGUUGCCAUGGAGCCGCUGUUGGGAUACCACCCUUGCAGUAUUGGGUUUCUAACCAGCCGCCGUGACCCGGCGGUGGGACAAUGCCAGACGGGGAGUUUGACUGGGGCGGUCGCCUCCGAAAGGGUAUCGGAGGCGCCCAAAGGUUCCCUCAGGAUGGACGGAAACCAUCCAAAGAGUGCAAAGGCAGAAGGGAGCUUGACUGCGACACCGACGGGUGGAGCAGGUACGAAAGUAGGGCUUAGUGAUCCGGUGGUAUUAAGUGGGAAUGCCAUCGCUCAACGGAUAAAAGCUACCCUGGGGAUAACAGGCUUAUCACUCCCAAGAGUUCACAUCGACGGAGUGGUUUGGCACCUCGAUGUCGGCUCAUCGCAUCCUGGGGCUGUAGUAGGUCCCAAGGGUUGGGCUGUUCGCCCAUUAAAGCGGUACGCGAGCUGGGUUCAGAACGUCGUGAGACAGUUCGGUCCCUAUCCGGCGUGGGCGUAGGAUAUCUGAGAGGAGCUGUCCUUAGUACGAGAGGACCGGGAUGGACGGGCCGCUGGUGCACCGGUUAGACUGCCAAGUCUAUAGCCGGGUAGCCAAGCCCGGAAGGGAUAAACGCUGAAGGCAUCUAAGCGUGAAGCCCCCCUCAAGAUGAGAUAUCCCAUCCGAAAGGAGUAAACCCCCUUGAAGACGACGAGGUUGAUAGGGCAG
rnacentral:rRNA from 1 species